UGAGGUGACCUGGGCUCAUCACUCUGCGAACUCGCCAAUAGUGCCAUUGGUGGUGGCUGGGGUAACACUGCGGAAAGUCUUCGCCUGGGUGGGGAUGAUGGAGGUGCGGAAUCCGUCCCAAGACGCCGUGUCUUAGUAGGCCUCCUGGAAUAUGUGACUACAGUGAAGACUUACCUGCAAUCCCAGCCUCAUCCUGACUUGUCUGAGGCCUGUCUGGGCGGCUGGUCUGGGUGACUGUGGAAAAAGUGACCCCAACAUUAUUACCAUGUAUUUUGAAAAAUGACCCACUGAAAAGCAUUAAUGUACUGUAAGCAUCUAUUAGGUAUUGUUGCGUAAAAUUUUUUAGCCUUAAGUGCUUCUAGAUUCAUGUUUUUUAGAGGUUUCUAAAAAUGUACUUGAUGUGGCACACAAUAAAUGGAUAUUAAUUAUUUAA